rnacentral:rRNA from 1 species
AUUGAGCGCUGGCGGCAUGCCUAACAUAUGCAAGUCGCACGCGAAAGGGGGCAACCCUGAGUAGAGUGGCGGACGGGUGAGUAACGCGUAGGAAUCUACCUGGUAGUGGGGGACAACCCGGUGAAAACCGGGCUAAUACCGCAUACGAUCCACGGAUGAAAGCAGGGGACCGCAAGGCCUUGCGCUAUCAGAUGAGCCUGCGUCGGAUUAGCUAGUUGGUGGGGUAAAGGCCCACCAAGGCGACGAUCCGUAGCUGGUUUGAGAGAACGACCAGCCACACUGGGACUGAGACACGGCCCAGACGCCUACGGGAGGCAGCAGUGGGGAAUAUUGGACAAUGGGGGCAACCCUGAUCCAGCAAUGCCGCGUGUGUGAAGAAGGCCUUCGGGUUGUAAAGCACUUUCGGUGGGGACAAACAAGGUGGAGCUAACAUCUCCGCCUCUGAUGGUACCCAAAGAAGAAGCACCGGCUAACUCUGUGCCAGCCGCCGCCGUAA